UCCAGACUCCUACGGGAGGCAGCAGUGGGGAAUAUUGCACAAUGGGGGGAACCCUGAUGCAGCGACGCCGCGUGAGUGAAGAAGUAUUUCGGUAUGUAAAGCUCUAUCAGCAGGGAAGAAAAUGACGGUACCUGACUAAGAAGCCCCGGCUAACUACGUGCCAGCAGCCGCGGUAAUACGUAGGGGGCAAGCGUUAUCCGGAUUUACUGGGUGUAAAGGGAGCGUAGACGGUUAUGCAAGUCUGAAGUGAAAGCCCAAGGCUCAACCAUGGGACUGCUUUGGAAACUGUAAAACUGGAGUGCAGGAGAGGUAAGCGGAAUUCCUAGUGUAGCGGUGAAAUGCGUAGAUAUUAGGAGGAACACCAGUGGCGAAGGCGACUUUCUGGACUGUACCUGACGCUGAGGCGCGAAAGCGUGGGUAGCGAACGGGAUUAGAUACCCCAGUA
rnacentral:rRNA from 1 species